rnacentral:tRNA from 1 species
UCCCUGGUGGCUCAGAGGGUAAAGAAUCUGCCUGCAGUGCAGGAGACCCCAGGUUCAAUCCCUGGAUUGGGAA